rnacentral:antisense_RNA from 1 species
CGCGCGGUGUACUCCCAGAUGGCCUCCUGGUCGAGAAGCGCCUGCUCCCCGAAGUAGGAGCCGUCGGCGAGCGUCCCGAGCACCGUGUCGUCGCCGUAGGGUCCGGUGCCGACCUUCUCCACCCGGCCGUGCGCGAGCAGGAAGACCUCGCCCGAGGGGCUGCCGAAGGAGGUCAGGACCUCACCCGCGGCGUACUCCCGCUGCUGGCAGCGGGAGGCCAGCUCGCCCAGCACCUCCUGGUCGUCGAAGUCCCGCAGCAACGGCAGCUCGCCCAGUUCGGCGGGGAUGACCUGGACCUGGUCGCCCGUCUUGACGAAGGUCACCCUGCCGUCACCGACCGCGUAGCUCAGCCUGCGGUUCACCCGGUACGUGCCGCCCUGCACCUGCACCCACGGCAGCAUCCGCAGCAGCCAGCGGGAGCUGAUCUCCUGCAUCUGCGGCGCCGACUUGGUGGUGGUGGCCAGGUUCCGCGCGGCCGAUGUGCCGAGGCUCUGCUGCGGCUUCCCCGA